UACGUAGGGUGCGAGCGUUAAUCGGAAUUACUGGGCGUAAAGUGUGCGCAGGCGGCAGAGCAAGUCGAGUGUGAAAGCCCCGGGCUUAACUUGGGAAUUGCGCUCGAAACUACUUUGCUGGAGUGUGGCAGAGGAAGGUGGAAUUCCACGUAUAGCGGUGAAAUGCGUAGAGAUGUGGAGGAACACCAACGGCGAAGGCAGCCUUCUGGGCCAAUACUGACGCUCAUGCACGAAAGCGUGGGGAGCAAACAGG
rnacentral:rRNA from 1 species